GGACGGGAAUAACCUCGGGAAACUGAGUAUAAUGCCCGAUAGAACAUUAUGCCUGGAAGGGUUUAUGUUCCAAAUGAUUUAUCGCCGUAGGAUGGGACUGCGGCCUAUCAGUUUGUUGGUGAGGUAAUGGCCCACCAAGACUAUUACAGGUACGGGCUCUGAGAGGAGUAGCCCGGAGAUGGGUACUGAGACACGGACCCAGGCCCUAUGGGGCGCAGCAGGCGAGAAAACUUUGCAAUGUGCGAAAGCACGACAAGGUUAAUCCGAGUGGUUUCUGCUAAAGGAACCUUUUGUUAGUCCUAAAAACACUAACGAAUAAGGGGUGGGCAAGUUCUGGUGUCAGCCGCCGCGGUAAAACCAGCACCUCAAGUGGUCAGGAUGAUUAUUGGGCCUAAAGCAUCCGUAGCCUGCUCUGUAAGUUUUCGGUUAAAUCUGUAUGCUCAACAUACAGGCCGCCGGGAAUACUGCAGAGCUAGGGAGUGGGAGAGGUAGACGGUACUCGGGAGGAAGUGGUAAAAUGCUUUGAUCUCUCGAUGACCACCUGUGGCGAAGGCGGUCUACCAGAACACGUCCGACGGUGAGGGAUGAAAGCUGGGGGAGCAAACCGGAUUAGAUACCCGGGUAGUCCCAGCUGUAAACGAUGCAGACUCGAUGAUGCAUUGGCAUAAUAGCCGGUGCAGUG
rnacentral:rRNA from 1 species